rnacentral:ncRNA from 1 species
UUUCAAGCUAAUGCUAAUACGGGCCGUUAUAUAAAUCUCAUACAGACGAUAUGAAAUUGACAGAGUAUUGUAAGCAGUUGAGUAGCCUUUGUUGCUACGAAGUGCUGAGAUUAAGCUCUUGUCCUAGAAUUGU